CUCCUCUCCGCUUGGCUCCUGAUUCAUCCCAGCUGCGACCACUUACCUCAUCACCUCAUCCGCCUACUUAAGGAGUUCCAGGAUCAUCUGUCUUCGCCAGUCCGUUGCCCCUGAUGGAAACCCCAGUCACGAGUGGUCGCCUGAACCUGUUGCACUCUGGAACCGCCUCUGGUCUGCUUCCCCUGACCUCACCACGAGCCUCUGCCGAGUAAACACCCUCAAGAGACGGAUCCACGCUGCCAACCCCGGACUCUGUGAGGACAUCAACCAGUGACGCCACGGGCCGUAGUCUCUCUAUCUCCGGACCUCCAGAAACUGUGCCUUACCUGACCAGCUACCUCAUUAAAUCCCCUUUCCUCUUGCC